AGCGGGGGUGUAUUAGGUUUAACCUCAAUGACAACUAAUUAAUAACCAACUAAAUAAAAUUUUUCAAGUUAGAGAGAGACUAUGUUUUCUCAUUUCAGAAUAUUUUCAAAGGAAAAACUAUAGUAAUAAAUGCCCGUGAAAACAAUAUCAAAUGCAUAUCAGGAAUGUAAAUGAUCCAAAUUUCCAACGACAGCCUGGAGAUUUGAACUCCAAAAUGUCCGAAUAAAGUUGAUUAAAAGACAGUCGCACAAUAUGGCACCCACCUUGUGAAGUACGACAUUUCCAACCACUGUCAGAAACGUGGAAGUUUAAAGGAAAGCUCUAUCAAGUCACUUUGCAAAAUUUCACCAGAUGACCUCUAGCGCUUUGAAAAUAGCUGAGUCAGAACACAGCUGGUGGAAAAGAAAAUGGCAUGAACCCUCUAAAUCAGCAUGGUAGAGAAAAUGCCAUGCUGUCCUGGAGAUAAGCCCCAAGCACCCAAAAGGCUACAAAACUCAGCCGUCUCCAUGCCCUGGACCUGGCUCAGUUCUCGGGAUCUGGUUUCAAGAUUCAUCUACCAUCUUCCCAAGUAUUGAUCAAGGACAGCGUUCUUCUACCACAGUUGGGCUCCGUAUUGAUUGUCGGGGGAUCUGCUCUAUUCGACCUCUGCAGAAUAUUUCUACAAAAGAAGAGUCUACUUGUCCUGGAAAGAAUCUAAACCAGCUUUUCCCUGACUUGGUUCCUUAGACCACUAGUCACUGAGAAUUUAAUAAAUAUACAUACAAAAAUCA
ensembl:lncRNA